UACGAAGGGGGCUAGCGUUGCUCGGAAUCACUGGGCGUAAAGCGCACGUAGGCGGAUUGCUAAGUCAGGGGUGAAAUCCUGGAGCUCAACUCCAGAACUGCCUUUGAUACUGGCGAUCUCGAGUCCGGGAGAGGUGAGUGGAACUGCGAGUGUAGAGGUGAAAUUCGUAGAUAUUCGCAAGAACACCAGUGGCGAAGGCGGCUCACUGGCCCGAUACUGACGCUGAUGCACGAAAGCGUGGGGGAGCAAACAGG
rnacentral:rRNA from 1 species